rnacentral:rRNA from 1 species
GACGAACGCUGGCGGCGUGCUUAACACAUGCAAGUCGAACGAAGAGCGAUGGACGCUUGCUUCUAUCAAUCUUAGUGGCGAACGGGUGAGUAACGCGUAAUCAACCUGCCCUUCAGAGGGGGACUACAGUUGGAAACGACUGCUAAUACCGCAUACUAUCCCCUCUCGGCAUCGGGACUGGAUGAAAGCUGGCCUCUAUUUAUAAGCUCUCCCUGAAGGACGGUAUUGCGUCUGAUUAGCGAGUUGGUGGGGUACCGGCCCACAAAGGCGAUGAUCAGUAGCCGGUCUGAGAGGAUGAACGGCAACACUGGGACUGAGACACGGCCAAGACUACUACGGGAGGCAGCAGUGGGGAAUCUUCCGGAAUGGACGAAAGUCUGACGGAGCAACGCCGCGUGAGUGAUGACGGCAGUCGGGUUGUAAAGCUCUGUUAAUCGGGACGAAUGGUUCUUGUGCGAAUAGGGCGAGGAUUUGACGGUACCGGAAUAGAAAGCCACGGCUAACUACGUG